UGCCUCCAUGCCCCCGGCGCUUCUUGCAUCUCCGCCGUCCUCCACCUCCCAGAGGCCUGACUUGUCUGGUUGUUGACAUGGAGACUUCAUCAACGUCCUCCGUCCUCCCAGAUGCGCGGCCUUUGAGUGCAUAGCUUAUUAUCGUCAAAGUUCUGAAGUUUCUGCAUCCAAAGUCCUUCGGUUACCCAAUCUCUCCCCUGCCGCAUCCAAGGUUUGCUUUCAGGGCAUGUUCUCCAGGUUAAUUCAUUCCCGGUUCUCCACCAACACUUUUCCCAGCUGGGACCGUGCACAGCCAAUUCGUGUCUUUGACUCUUAGGCCACAAUGGAGAGAUCAGUACAUUCAAAGGGAACAAGAAUUGGAUGAAAGCUCGUGGGGCCUCUUGAAGUGUGAGAAGCGUGGCCUAUCAGAGGAAGAAAUGUAAAAAAUUCUUUCAAUUGUAGAUGCCACCUCUUCAGAUUCAGGCGCAUUCGAUGGUGUUCUUGAGCUCCUUAUCCGAGGUCGAUGAAGCCUGCCAGAAGCUGUAAUGAUGAUGAUUUCUGAGGCGUGGCAGAAUGAUGUAAACAUGGAACCUGAGAAGAGAGCCCUCUACGAGUUGAGCCUUGGGAUGGGCCUGCUCUAAUAUCUUUGGUUAUUUGGAAUUCUCAUGCUGGUGUAUCUGCCUAUCUUGGAUUCCUAUCAUGGUUAUACUCUAAUCAUCUGAAGCACAAUGGUUGGAGGAGUGAAUAUUAGGUGGUUGGAGAUUUAUUCCAUAGUUUGGACCGCCAAAUUUCAAUGAAAUCUAACCUUAGUGGACUCUAUAUUACUUUUUACAAUGACUAUCUGAGAGUAUAAUUAAUCUACUGGAGUAGACAACAAAAUUUUAUAUCUACAUUUGAUUAAAACUGGCAAUCAAUAAGAACAGAAUACUACAAUUGCUUAAGUCAUUCCUUCAAUAUAGCAUAAUUGCAUCAUCCUAAUGAAAUGUGUAGAGGAGGGAUACAAAGUACAUAUUUAGAUACAACUGAUAAACCACAUUAGGCAAUCCUAGGAGGAGGUUGUUAGGCAGAGCAAGGUGGCCGUUGUUGUACGCUUACAGGUUCUAGGCGAGCACAUCAAUACUUUUAGUUCAGAGGAUGAUGCUUUAAUUGGUUGUAGUUGUUUGAUUUUUUGAAUUGAUGUAGUAUGUCAUGCCACCCUAUUCUAUUUGGCAGUUGCGGUGCUUUUCAUGUAUGUGUAGUCCUGACUCAAGAUAAAUUUACAGAAUUGCAGCCCAUGUAUGCCAUGGUCUGAAACUGAAAGUAUAAAAAUUGCCAUCACUCUGUCUAAGUGUUCCUUCCUUGCAAGAUGAUACUAGCAUGUACUUCUGCUGACAUCUUGUUUGUUUUCUUGAUUUGUUGGUUCUUGUUCGGUUGUUAGGCUCUAUAAAUGUCAUUCAUGAUCCAAUUAAAUUUAUUUGAGCAGAAAUUUUAUUUGAAAUGAUGAGGCAGCCUAAAUGCAUCGAAAAAGCACAGUGGAUCCACGAGGCUACGACAACAUAGGUUAUAUUGCAUCAUACUCUAGACUGCGACUAAAGAUAUAUUUUUUGUUCAUGGCAUGACAUGCUGUGAGGUACGAUGGUGGCCAGAUGGGGUUUGAGACAAGAGGAGAGGCUGGAUGGAGCUCUGAGGACCUCCGGUUUGGCGGCGACAUAUGCCUAUCAUGGAGGAAGUGGUUACCAUAUCUUUUUGAAAGAUGCUGCGGGCACAAAAUAAGUUGUUGGUUCACAUGUUGAAACAUGGAUAGGCAUUGUACCGUUGUAGAGAUCCCCCACUUGGAAUAUCCAAUCUAUGGUCUCGGGCGGACGGCCAUGGCGACGAUGGUGCAGCGUUGGUGUUUGACGAUGAGCCUACUAGGUGUGGUCUCUGAAGGCCGCCGAACGCGAACUUCGACGGUCCUUGCACCGGUGAUGGAGCUGCAGGGGAGUGACCGGUCUCCGCUCGGUCUUCUAAAGAGAGUGGUGGAGCUCGAUAAAGUGGGUGAUCUCGAGAGAGUGAGGAGGCAGUCGGCUUUACAUCAUUCACAUUCCUUUUCUACAAAGGGUUUCCACACAAAAAAUGUUAGCCUUUUUCGCAGUACCUUGUCAGUGAAGGUUGCUUCGCAGCAGCAGUAGGGAAGGGGAGAAACU